ensembl:lncRNA
GCGAAAACGGUUUUGUCUAUCGAUACAAAAUCCAUAACAUUUUGUCAGCACAGUCUGAAGAUCAUCUGAUUCAAUUUUGGUGAAAAUCGGACCAACGGUUGAUGAGGAGUUCGAAAAAGUAGGUUUUCAACAUAAAUCAAAAUGGCGGACAGGAAGUUCAGCGUACUCUGGCAUAUUUGGUAUCUAUGUUGUCGGCCUAAGCCAAGGAAUAUUUUGAGACCAGUUUCAUUGCAAUAGGCUAAUGCAUUAAAAAGUUAUUAGCAUUUUUAUAAAUGUAAUUAUUAAUGGUUAAUGAAUGAUUUAUUAGUCUUGACCAAUAGGUGGCGCUGUUACCAAAUUGAUGUGGCAUGGUCAGUGUGAGGUGACAAUGGCACAUACAAAGUUUGGUGCAAAUAUGUCAAAGCUUUGCCGAGAUACAGCCUCAGAUGUAUUUUGGCAUCUUACGAACAAAUUCGUUGAUGCGCUAAACGAAAACCGUUUCGUAUAUCAACACAAAAUCCAUAACUUUUUGUCAGCUUGGUCUGAAGAUGAUCCGAACCAAAUUUGGUGAAAAUCGGACUAACGGUCUAGGAGGAG